CGUAAUAAUAUUUACACAAUAAUAAUUAUUUUGUUAUUAGUAAUAAAAAUAAGCACUAUAAUGUAACAACAUAAUAUCAGCAGGUAAAAAUAAAAUGUAUCUUAAGAAAAAGUGGCGAACGAAUGUACGUACUGUAAAAGGUUGUAUAAAUUAAUGUGUUAACAUAAUUUAAUGUUUUGACGCGUUGAAUGCCAUGGUGGAGAAAAAUUGCGAACAUCGAGGUCUCCGGAAACUAUUACGGCAACGUUCACGCUAGAUGAUGCGCAUGAUCUGUUUAUAUAUUACUUUUAUUAAAUAAACAAUAGUCUGUUUCUCUGAACAUUACAUAUACAUAUUUUUACACGAAACAUUUGAAAUAUUUUCAAUGCUUUCUUAUUACAACGAUGAUACUAAUAGCAUUCUUUCUACUUUUCAGUUUCCGAACGACGUCGCAACUAUGCCCGAAGCUGAGGAAUCGAUUGUUGUACGCUAUUAUAUAAAGCAAUAAUCUCGAAUGACGGGCGGGUCUUUUUCUUUCGAUAGAGAAAAAUUUAACUGCAUUAUCCCACUCUGAUUUUAACAGAACGCAGGGAUCUCCGAGAUGUCCAACUUUCGUUAUCAGUUACAUCGCAUCUUCCGACAUUCCUUCCUUUUCUUUAUAAUCUUCUUUUCCACGUUAAAUCAUCGAGCGAUGCAAUCGGUGUUGACUUUUUUCCAACCGUGAUCCAUUACGAUAGCUGUGGAAUGAGGGUUUUCAAAGGAUGUCUUCUUGAUUCAAUCGUGAAGAAUCGAUCUGGAUUUUGGUACAAAUGGAAAAUACGAUUAAUAGAAUAUAAAUUAUUCGGGUUAAAAUGAGCUAUUGAAAACAGCGAUACCAAGCACGAAUGAGAGCUAUUCAAGGGAAUAUCCCUACCACAAGGUUACAACGAUGUCUCGUCGGCUGGUCCUCUUCUUUCGUUUAUGUUUUUUCUUCUUCCUCUUAACGCGAUUCUGAAAGUUUCACUGUGCGUCUCUUCAAGAGAAAUGAUGGCCGGGCCGUAACAGGGUAUCAUAUUUUACUCAAGUCAAGCGUGUAGCCACGUUUUGUUUUUAUUACUCGCUUAGUUCUAUUCUUAGUAUCUUUCGUAUUGUUUGCAAAAAACAAUAAUAAAACGUAUACUACGUACUUCAUUA